rnacentral:rRNA from 1 species
UACGUAGGGACCAAGCGUUGUUCGGAUUUACUGGGCGUAAAGGGCGCGUAGGCGGCGCGGUAAGUCACUUGUGAAAUCUCUGAGCUUAACUCAGAACGGCCAAGUGAUACUGCAGUGCUAGAGUGUGGAAGGGGCAAUCGGAAUUCUUGGUGUAGCGGUGAAAUGCGUAGAUAUCUGGAGGAACGCCGGUGGCGAAGGCGGCAUCCUGGACCGGUAUUGACACUGAGGCGCGAAAGCCAGGGGGGCAAACGGG